AUGAGAUUUGGUGAUGAGGAUUACCUAUUGAUUGAUGAGAACAACCACGAGAUAUAUAUUUUUGGAUCAUUUUUUGAAAAGAUUAAUCAUGCAGGAGUUGGAGGGUUGUGGGUAGAACUUGUGAAUAAUAGAGGUUUUGAAGCAGAAAGUUCCAUUAAUGGGACCUCAAAUAUUUAUCCAUGGACAAUUAAUAGAGAAAAUCAAUCAUCUAUUAUUGUAUGA